UACAGAGGGUGCAAGCGUUAAUCGGAAUUACUGGGCAUAAAGCGCACGUAGGCGGUUUUUUAAGUCAGAUGUGAAAGCCCCGGGCUCAACCUGGGAAUUGCAUUUGAAACUGGGAAACUAGAGUGUGUGAGAGGGGGGUAGAAUUCCAAGUGUAGCGGUGAAAUGCGUAGAGAUUUGGAGGAAUACCAGUGGCGAAGGCGGCCCCCUGGCACAACACUGACGCUCAGGUGCGAAAGCGUGGGGAGCAAACAGG
rnacentral:rRNA from 1 species